rnacentral:rRNA from 1 species
GACGAACGCUGGCGGCGUGCUUAACACAUGCAAGUCGAACGGAAAGGCCUGCUUUUCCUUGUGGAUUGCGGGUACUCGCGUGGCGAACGGGCGAGUAACACGUGAGCGAUCUGCCCCCAACUUGGGUAUAAGCCUGGGAAACUGGGUCUAAUUCCCGAUAGGACUGCAGGGUGGUGCCGGUGGUGGCAAACGAUGUUCUAGUGGUUGGGGAUGAGCUGGCGGCGUAUCAGCUUGUUGGUGGGGUAGUGGCCUACCAAGGCGGGGACGGGUAGGCGGCCUGGGAGAGUCGACGUGCGCAGUGGGACUGAGACACGGCCAAUGCGACAAGGGGCAGCAGCAGAGGGGAAGAAGGAGCAGUGAGCAGAAGCCUGAUGCAGCGACGCCGCGUGGGGGAUGACGGGCUUCGGAUUGUGAACUCCUUUCGACAAAGAGGUAUCCACCUGGUUGGAAGGGUGGUGACGGUAGUGGUAGAAGAAGCACCGGCUAACUACGUG